rnacentral:rRNA from 1 species
UUUGACCUCGGAUCAGGUAGGAAUACCCGCUGAACUUAAGCAUAUCAAUAAGCGGA